CCGACGCUGCAACGGCUUCCUGGCGCAGCGGUCGCUAUUCAAUGGAGCA
rnacentral:ncRNA from 17 species